GUGUAAUAAGAUAGAUGCUGUUUCAAUCUAAAGGAUGAAGUUAAAGUGCUAGUAAAAAUUCUAGUUUGUGACUUGGGACGAUAAGACCCUAUGAAUUUUAAACUCUUUGGGGUUCAAGCAAUAAAUUCGAAUAGAUUUUUAACUGGGGCAGUGAGAGUAAAUUUAACUACAUUUAUAAAAACCUAAAUUAGGAUAGGUAAAGCUAGUAUACUACAGAAAUCAAAAUACUCUAGGGAUAACAGCGUAAUUAUAGCGGAGAGGUCUUAUCGAUGCUGUAGUUUGCGA
rnacentral:rRNA from 1 species